AUCUUAGAAGCAGUGGCAAACAAAUGGAUGGAGAAAUUAGCCUGAUUAGCAAUGUACAUCGGAGAAUUUUAAAUAAUUAUCUAAAAUGUCAAGCAUUACGUACGACAGAGAAGAACGUAGACCUUAAUUGCAUUCGCUGGAGAAAGGUGAAUCCUCGACAGGCAUUUAUUAAAGUUAACCUCGCAAUUCGAACGGUUCGCAAUUUCACGUGUGCAAGGACGCCGGUUAAAAGGAAGCAAUUAAAUUUGAAGAGGAAGGACGAAAAGAUCGGGCACGAUAGCGGCGUACGUUUUAUUCGCAAGUACAAGUUCACCGUUCUGCGCCGUGAAUUCGUAAGAUCAUCUUUCACGGUUUUCCGUGACGUGCUGUGUCGCGUCACGCCGCCGACGCCUGCCACGAAAUGUACGCCGUCAAUCCUCGCCGGAUUUACUUUAAUUCCCAUUUACGUAACGGAAAUUUGACAAGGUUCUAUUUAAAACAUGGUCUUGCAAAAUGUGACUCUGGUCAUUUCUGAUGAUGGGUGUAGUAAUUGAUAUUGCAUUUUUAUGUGUCAAAGGGUUGUUUCGGGUAAGUGCUUCUAUUAUCGAUGUUUAUAGUUUUCGAUUAUUGUAUUUAAAAUUAAUGAGCUGUUAAUGACUAUUUAAUGAGUGAUUACUACAUGUAUUACAGGU